CAUGGCGGCCGCGGGAAUUCGAUUGGAAACAGGUGCUAAUACCGGAUAAAAGCUACUUUCGCAUGAAAGAAGUUUAAAAGGCGGCGUAAGCUGUCGCUAAAGGAUGGACCUGCGAUGCAUUAGCUAGUUGGUAAGGUAACGGCUUACCAAGGCGAUGAUGCAUAGCCGAGUUGAGAGACCGAUCGGCCACAUUGGGACUGAGACACGGCCCAAACUCCUACGGGAGGCAGCAGUAGGGAAUCUUCCACAAUGGACGCAAGUCUGAUGGAGCAACGCCGCGUGAGUGAAGAAGGUUUUCGGAUCGUAAAGCUCUGUUGUUGGUGAAGAAGGAUAGAGGUAGUAACUGGCCUUUAUUUGACGGUAAUCAACCAGAAAGUCACGGCUAACUACGUGCCAGCAGCCGCGGUAAUACGGUGCCAGCAGCCGCGGUAAUACGAUAAUCACUAGUGAAUUCGCGGCCGCCUGCAGGUCGACCAUAUGGGAGAGCUCCCAACGCGU
rnacentral:rRNA from 1 species